CAGUACCUCAUUUCCGGUUUAGCAUUGUAGCCUUUGAAAUAAAAGCUGAGACUCAACGUAAGAUAAUAGUUAGUGCAAUUCAGUUACCAAGUGUCGUGCUUUUAUUUUGAAGGCUGUUCCGUUAAAAUAGUGUUCGCCACUGCUAGCUAAUGUUUUGAUAGCGCGUCAAGUAGACAGAGUGAGUUCAGGAUAAAGACGUUUAGUAACGUUUUGAGAAUUUCAAACAGCAGUUGGACGUCUCAGAAGACACCAAAGAAAGCCAUGGAGUCUUGCUAGCCUUUACACCACCUUACUACUGCAAAGUAUCUGGUCCCUGCUUCUACAGUCUCGGAGAUUGCAAGUGAAAUGAGAUUACUACUAUAAAUGAAGAAAUGAAGGAAGAUACAAGAUUUCAGUGGAUGAAGUCACAGUUAACAUCGUUGGCUGUCCACUAGUUGCUGUGAGCUAUAUGUUCAGCCUAUAUUAUGUGCUGAACAUAAAGUAUCCAAAGGGAGCAGCCCUGACUCUGGAGUUCAUUCAGAUGUGCCUGCUAGGGAUGAAACCCAGAACGGAGCACA